AGCUGGGGAGGUUCUGCGGCGGCCACCGGCGACGAUCGGCGACCAUCCACCGCCAUCCGUCGUCUCUGGGGCUCUCCCGCCAGUCGGCUCCGCCGCAUCGGCGCCCUGUGGGCAUGGCGUCCGGCGGCGGCGCUUUGGUGCGCUUCGAAGGCUGCGAAGGGCAGCGCGGCCUUGCCUCCGCCCUCCUCCUCAGGCCGGGCCCGGCCCCGGCAUCCUGGCGUAGAAGGUGAUCCCGGGACAUGGGAUGGCAGGGAUCCUGCGUGUUCCAGAGCUCACCCAUCUGAUGGAUAGACCCAGCAGUAACUCUGUGGAAAAAGACUAAAACCUGUGAGCCCAGUCCCAAGAGCUUCAGCUUGCUUUCUGUACGACCUGAGUUGUGAGGAAGCUGCAGUGUGGAGCGUGUGAGUGUUCUCUGGAGAACUCCUGGUGCUGGGGUGAGCAGUCUAAGCAGAGCAUGAACCAUCCCUGAUGGACUUGGUGCUGCAGUGCCAGACUGUUCUUUCCCAGCCCUCUCCUCCAGAAGUGGGAGCUCUGCAGAGCCAGAUCCUGGCUCCUUCCUUAGCUGUGAGCUCUGCCAAGUGGGAUCAGCCACUUCUGGGCUCCCCUCACCUGCAGUGGAGGGAGGUAGAACUGAUUUGGCUCCAGGUAUAUCUGAAGCUCUGGUUCAGAUGCUCCACCUGGAAGAACAGUCUGUUCCAUGGAGUUUUUUCAGGAGGGGGUCUGGAUAUUAAAUAUUUGAUUAGAGGAGAGAGCCAGUAAUGCCAAGGUGGUGGGUUUGAUCCCUGUACAGGCCAUUCGCUUAAGAGCUGGACUCAGUGAUCCAUGUGGGCCCCUUCCAGCUUGGAAUAUUCUCUGUGUGUGAUAGGAGUUUGAAUAAAUGCAGUUACUUCAAAUCUU